AUCUGUGGUGGUUGCUAUGGUUUUGCUAGGUGGUUACUAGGUGAUGUAUAUGCAUGUACAUGUAUAUGCUACGCAACGUGCAAAUACAUGACUCAGCUAUGCACACUAGGUUGCUCUGGCCUAGGGGGACAAAAAACAGGUGGAAUAAUAAUAAUAAUAAGAAGAAUAAGACUUAAGAAGAAAAGUACUGUGAUUGCAUACUGCAAUCACACUAAUUACUCUAUAAUAAAAGUAAUAUAAGGAUUUUUUUUUGAAAAAGCAGUUUUCACAGUCAGUUGAAAUGAGUAGAUCAGAAAGGUGUUUGUACAUAACUUUUUUUAUUUAUUGUACAUCAGAACAGAGCAGAAUAAAAUCCUUUUAAAAACUAAAUUUUGUAUAAAAAAAUAAAUAAAGCAAAAGUAAACAGUUACACUAUAUAACGUGCUUUACAUCUAUCAAAUUAAAUUUAAUUAAAAUUAUCUUGAUCCUGACUCGCCAUUUCUGCCUCUUCUCCGUUUGUGUCGAGUGUCACUGGUGUGCUUCGGCACACGUGUAAAAACACUGGCUCUGAUUGGCUACCACCUCUGUCCCGCAUAACUCGCCACCUGAUUGGCCGAGCCGCACGCAGCGGGAGGCUCCUGGCUGAUGCUGAACUGGGGCAGUUCAGUUCCACCACUGGGGUCACUAUGGUAACCGGUGUAGACAAUGCAGUGCAGCUCUCCCACAGAACGCUGCCCCGUUCGAGUUAUGACGUCAUAGCCACGAUUGUCUAUAUAUAUAGAGAGCUUGCGCACUCUAUUCAGUAAAGUACAGUAAAGUACUGAAUACAGCAGAGGAGGAUUCAGGAUGAGAAGCACAAUAGCGAUAGAAAAGAAGCGUCUUCAGUCAUAUAUUAGUCAAACGGAGGCCAGUAUAAGAAGGAGAUUGGAGGAGACUGGUUCAGAAAUGAAUAAACUUCAAGAUCAAAUAAUGACAGAAAGGCAGAGGUCCAAUAAACGUAUUCAAGAUAUGAAUUGUGAGCUGGAGAGGUUAGAGAAGUGGGCUAAAAAUAAAAAAAAAUACAUUGACGAUGAGAUUGAGGAAGUAAAGAACAGGGCUAGUAGAACAAUGAAUGAACUGAAAGCAGAGAUGACAACAGAGAUGGGAUCAGUGGGGGAGGCUGAGCGUAAUGAAAUCUUUGCCGCGAUAAAGAUAAUAUUUAAACAUUCUCAGCAACAGAUAACAAGACUAGAAGUCAAGAAGAAGGCAGCAAAUGAGACGUAUUCUAAAGGCUGGAGAAAACUGUGGGAACAGAUCGAUAAUGAAACGGAAAAGAGCAAUGACCAUGUUUUGAGACUAUCGAAGAUAAUGGUCAAAACACACAUAGCCUGUGUGGAAUACAUUGACAAAGAGACGGCUGACAUGAAACAGCAUAUAGCAGAUUCUUCAAGAUACAUUGAUUCAUUGGAAAAGCAGAAAAGAAAAGCUGAGCUACCAUGGCUGUGUGCUGCUGCGCUCUCUGCUUUAGGUCUGCUUGCUUUUGCAUUUUUAAUGAGGUAGUGCGCCUCCAGGCGCUGAACACGUGCUAAAACCACCGGAGAGCGGCUCGCUCCAGGUGCUGAACACGGGCUAAAAUCACCGGAGAGCGGCUCGCUCCAGGUGCUGAACACGGGCUAAAACCACCGGAGAGCGGCUCGCUCCAGGUGCUGAACACGGGCUACAACCACCGGAGAGCGGCUCGCUCCAGGUGCUGAACACGGGCUAAAACCACCGGAGAGCGGCUCGCUCCAGGUGCUGAACACGGGCUAAAACCACCGGAGAGCGGCUCGCUCCAGGUGCUGAACACGGGCUAAAACCACCGGAGAGCGGCUCGCUCCAGGCGCUGAACCUAGCUGAACAUACGAUUUACUAUAAUAAAACCAUCGGAAGAAAAAGUUGCUGUUUUUACUUACAGGCUGUGAGAUGGUGGUCGAUCGUUGUGACGGUACAGAUUUUGCGCCCCUGACUUUUGACAUUGAUGUGAUGCCAUAAAAUGAUGCCCACCAACAGCAUCAUGUGGGCAAUGUUAGUGUACAUUACAGUAUAAUGAGUGAACACAGUGUUUAAAACCCCCUCAUACCACCUGAGAAUGACCCACCAGUAAUAGUGGAGCCAAUAAGAUAGACAGUGAGUGUAGGAACAAGGUGGUGAUCAUAAUAUUUUGAUUUGACUGUAUUUAGUAUUUGUGUGAACAAAUUUAUAGAUUCAUUUAUUGG